UGCCAUCCACAUGACAGGUGGAUUAGAAGAAGACUUGAGGAAUCUGAGGAAGGGAAAAAGAAGACACUAACAGUGAAAAAGGAAAUUACAUGAUUCCAUGUAACUAUCAUGGGGCAGUCAUCUGAGCCUGGGAAAAGUACCAGCUUUUAGGUGGAGCAUGGCAUUUGAGUCCAAGAAAGGAUCUCACUGACAUUUAUUUGGCAAGUGAAGGUACAAAAAUUGCAAGCUAUCAGAGCGACAGAAAAACCUGGAUGAUAUCCAUCCACGUUGCUCCAGCCAUCAACAGUCACGAAGGAAGAACCUAUUAAAGGCUACAAGAACUGCAGUGUCUAUUCAAGCAAAUACUCCCAGAGCUUCUACUUUUGAUAUCGAAAAAGCUGCUCCACCACAUCCCCUGCUGUUGGUGUCACUGUAAAAUUU